rnacentral:lncRNA from 1 species
CAACUUUGAUCACAUAUACCAAAUACUUUGUGUUGUGGCUUUUCAUUAGACUUUUAUUUGUAAGCACCACCACCACGUACCACCAGGUCCACCACCAUGGCCGAACAGAAGCCCCAGCACCACAACUUUUUCCACCACCACAAGGCGGAAGAAGGCAAGCCCAUUGACUAUAAGAAAGAGGAAAAACACCACAAGCAUAAAGAAAACCUUGGCAGCUCGGUGCUGUGGCUGCU